rnacentral:rRNA from 1 species
GACAGAGGGCGCAAGCGUUGUUCGGAAUUACUGGGCGUAAAGGGCGCGUAGGCGGAUAGUUUAGUCAGAGGUAAAAGCCCAGGGCUCAACCUUGGAACUGCCUUUGAUACUGGCUAUCUUGAGUUCGGGAGAGGUGAGUGGAAUGCCGAGUGUAGAGGUGAAAUUCGUAGAUAUUCGGCGGAACACCAGUGGCGAAGGCGACUCACUGGCCCGAUACUGGCGCUGAGGCGCGAAAGCGUGGGGAGCAAACAGG